GGCUCUUGAACCGGUUUUGAAGCCGUAGAAGUGCGACUGCCACUCAGCCAGAGAGAGAGAGCGAGAGAGAGAGAGAGUCAAUCUAAAACAAAUGAAUUAAUUCGAGUUCGAAUCUUAAUUCCAUGCUGGACACAGGGAUCGAGAAUGCUGCCAUUGUCUGCUCCAUCAUUUAAUCUUUCUUCUCAAUGGCAGCCAUGGACUUCUGUAGAAAAAGCUGCUAUUAUUGGUAAUAUAGGGUUUGUCCUUUUCUUUCUGUCAAUUUUCAAAUGAAUUCUCAUAAAAUUAUUGCCCUAUAUGAACCUCGUCCUUAGAGAUUUAAUGGAAUGUCGACUCUUUUAUUUGGUUUCUGUAAUUCUGUUUGCUUUCUCUAAAUUCUCAUAAAGUUAUUGCCCUAUAUGUUUACUGGAUUGCGGAGGAGUUCUCGGACGAAGAGUUCACUGGUCAUUGUUGUACGCUUUUACCGAAGAAUGAUCAAAAUGGAUGAACAUGAGGAAGCUGAUUCAUCAGCAGAGAACCCACCAAUUGGGAAUGAAGAAAUUGAGGAUGAGCAUGCAGAACUAACUGCCACUCCCCUUAAAAAAUAUGUUACAUUUGUUGUGGAUAGGAAGGAGGGAAAUUCUUGCAAGUGGACAUGUAAUUUUGGUUGCAGAUCAGAACCGUACACUGGGACAUAUUCUCGUGUUAGAGCACACCUGAUUGGGUUAUUACCUGGACAGAAAUCACAAGGAAUAAUAAUAUGUCCGAAAGUAAAGAAGGAAGAAAGGGAGAAGAUGAAAGCAGAAGAAGAUGAAGCUAAGCGAGUUUUUGGAAGUAGUUCACGUAGGGUACCCGUUUCAAGUAGUCCUAUUGGUUUGACAACAUGGAAGACUAGUACAAGUAUUGUAGUAGAAAGGGGGAGGAAUGCGCUUGAUGCGUCUAAAACAUCUUCAGCAGAUGAUGUUGAUGGGGUAAUUGCAAGAUUUUUCUAUGGAAAUGGGAUACCUUUUGAUGUGGCAAAGUCUCCUUUUUGGGGCGAUAUGGUGAAGGCCAUUAAUGAGGCACCUAGAGGAUACAAGCCACCAUGUGCAGAUAAGAUAGCGACAACACUUCUUUUGGAGGAAAAAACUAAAGUGGAUCAGGCACUGAUGUUUAUAAAACAACGAUGGCGGACUUACGGGGUUUCAGUUGUUUCAGAUGGUUGGACAAACCUCAAGAAUCAACCUUUAAUGAAUUUUAUAGCAGUUUCAGAUGGUAAGGCAGUUUUUAUUAAUGUCAUUGAUUGUUCAGGAGAUGAGAAAUCAAGUGAAUUUAUAGCUAAUUUGCUGCUUGAGGCCAUUGAAUCUGUGGGAACACAGAAGGUAUUCCAAGUUCUGACUGAUAACUCAAGUAUCUGUAGGGAUGCGGGAAAAAUCAUUGAAACCAGAUACCCUCAUAUAUUUUGGUCUGGUUCCAUGGCUCAUGGUUUAAGCCUUUUGAUGAAAGAUAUUGUAAAAUCAGCGAAACCAAACUUGGCUUUUGUUGGUGAAAACUAUGAGAGGGCAAAGAGAAUCAUGAGAUACAUAAAUAAUCAUAGUUCCGCCAUGUACAUUUUUAGAACAUUCCCGGCAUUAGAUGUUAUUCGAGUUAGUAAGUCUAGAUUUGGGCAUCAUUUUGUUGUAUUAGAAGGCAUUGCUCGGGUGAAGAAUGCCUUAGUCAACUUGGUUUUGAGUGAGGAAUGGGAGAAGCUCAAAAGAGGUGGGUCAAAGUCAAAUUUGGAGCAUGAAGAGGUGAAAAGAACUAUUUUAGAUGAUGAUUUUUGGAAGAUGGUAACGACAAUAUUAGCAUUCAUAAAGCCAAUUUGGGAGAUGAUCUGCUUCUGUGACUCGGAUAAAGCUACUAUAGGAGAAGUUUAUCCAAAAUUGGAUGCCAUGUUAGGAUGCAUUAAAGAUGCUUUGUUGGAUAGCAUCGAGGCGUAUCAAGUUGUUAGCGAUCUUUUUAUUGCACAAUGGAAGCAGAUGAACAUUCCUUUGUAUGGUCUUGCGUAUGUUCUUACUCCUUUUUACUAUUCAGGGUCUUGGUUAACAGGUUUGGCUCAAGUGGGAGAGAAAAGGAAUAAGCCCCAUGCAGAUCCUGAUGUUCAUAAGGCUUACUUAGAUGCACUGGAUCGACUUGUUAGUGAUUCAAAGAAAGCAGCUGUAGUACGUCAGCAACUUAGUGAUUUUGUCAGUAAUAGGGGUGUCUUUGCUCGUCCUCAGGCCAUCAAAGAUAGAGAAACGAUGUCUGCAUUAUCAUGGUGGGACUUAUAUGGUGUGACUGCGCCUGAGCUAUAUGGUCUGGCAGUUAGAGUGUUAUCACAAAGUGUGAAUACCUCAUGUGUGGAGAGCGGUUGGAGCACCUAUGGGUACAUUCAUGAUGUCAAAAGGAAUAGAUUAAACCCUAAUAUCGCAAAAUCUUUAACAUAUGUUCAUUAUAACAAUCGAUUACUGACACGAUAUAGGGAGGAUUUUGAGAGUAUGUAUAAGGAUUGGGAUGCUAUUGUGAGUGAUGAUGAUUUAGACAAUGAUAUGAAAGGUGUUCAAGAUAGAGAGAAUUCCUUACUUUAUAAUGAAGAGGAGGAGGUUAGCAUUGCAACAUCUGGCUUCCCUUCUUAUGCCCCGAGUCAUGGAUCGUCUGCUUUAUCACAAGCCCAUCGACUUCAUGAGAUUGCACAAGUUAAAAGGCCACUUUUAUAAUGGAAUUUGAUGCUCCUAAUUCCAGUUCUGGAAGGUUGGUUCAAGUACUUUUUGAUGUCAGCCUGAUGGUAUAACCAGUUUGACCAAUUUCCCUCAUGUGAGACCCUCACCUGGGUUUCUAAACUUUGCUUCAAUCUGUGAAGAACUGGUAUUACUAACAUGAACAAAUGCAAAGGUAGCUCAAGAGAUUGAGUUGGAAGCUAAAGUCUCAGAAUGAAUGUAUAACUUGAUCUGAUGACGUUGAGGAUUAUUGGCAAUAGAGGCGAGGAGAAAGGGUUGUACCUUCUUGAUCUUAAGCCAUCUAUGGUUGAAGAAUGAGACUCUCAUGUCUAUGGCAAUAGUGGGAAUAAUUCAGUUGAGAAUUUGAUGCUUUGGCUUCAACGUUUGGGGCAUCCCUCCUUUUUGGUUAUAAAAAAACAUUUACCUCACUUGUUUUCUUCCCUAUGUAGCUCAAAUGUAUUUCAAUGUGAACCUCGUCAACUUGCUAAAGAUUGUUGAUCUCAUUGCUUAUAUCAUAGUUAUCAAGGUAUCACCUACGUGAUGCUUAGGUGUCUUGGAUGCCUUGGUCACCUUAUUGAUGUUGCCUCACAUCUAGGCUCCUCCAAUGUCUUGGGUCGCUUAGACCCAUGACAACUAUAUAAUAUAUCCAGUGCUCCUUUUCCUAUUGUUCAUUCAGAUGUUUGGGGUCUUAUUUGGUUACUUUUACUUUGUUACUUUUGUUGAUCAUAAUUCUUGUAUUACUUGGGUUUACUUUCCAAAGACAUAAGAGUGUUAAAUAUGUUUCUUUGACAACCUUUUAUCGAAUUAUUUACACUCAGUUUGAAGUCAAAAUCAAGAUUGUCAAGUUGGAUAAAGGGGAGAAUCUAUGUUUAGUGGCUUAAAAAAAUUCUUUAGUGAUAAUGGGAUUCUCUAUCAACUUGCGUGUGACGAUACACCCCAACAGAAUGGACUACCCAACAGAAUGGGUAGUUGAAUGGAAGAAUCGUCAUUUGAUGGAAAUCACUAGUGAGUAUAUUAUUUGAUAUGCAUGUCCUUAACACUUUUUUCUUCUUGCUGCCACAUUUCUUAUGAAUCACAUGCCAUCGAAUAUCCUUGGGUCCAAGUCUCAUUUGGAAAUUUUGUUCCAAGCGCUCCAAUCUUCUCUAUCCCUCCCAAAGUAUUUGGAUGCAUUUGUUAUGUCCGUAUUCAUAAAUCUAAUUGCUCCAAACUUGAUCCUAGAGAUCUUAAGUUUAUCUUUCUUAGAUACUCUCCUACUGAAAAGGGCCAUAAGUGCUACAAUCCUCCCUCUUGGAAAUGACUUCUAUCCAUGGAUGUCACCUUCCUUGAGUCUAUGCUUUCUUUUCAUCCUAAUUGCCAUCUUUACAGAGGGGGGA